AGAGUUUGAUCAUGGCUCAGAUUGAACGCUGGCGGCAUGCCUUACACACGCAAGUCGAACGGCAGCACGGGGGCAACCCUGGUGGCGAGUGGCGAACGGGUGAGUAAUACAUCGGAACGUGUCCUGGAGUGGGGGGAUAGCCCGGCGAAAGCCGGAUUAAUACCGCAUACGCUCUGAGGAGGAAAGGGGGGGAUCUUUCGGGACCUCUCGCUCAAGGGGCGGCCGAUGGCAGAUUAGCUAGUUGGUGGGGUAAAGGCCUACCAAGGCGACGAUCUGUAGCUGGUCUGAGAGGACGACCAGCCACACUGGGACUGAGACACGGCCCAGACUCCUACGGGAGGCAGCAGUGGGGAAUUUUGGACAAUGGGCGCAAGCCUGAUCCAGCAAUGCCGCGUGUGUGAAGAAGGCCUUCGGGUUGUAAAGCACUUUUGUCCGGAAAGAAAACCUCUUGGUUAAUACCUGAGGGGGAUGACGGUACCGGAAGAAUAAGCACCGGCUAACUACGUGCCAGCAGCCGCGGUAAUACGUAGGGUGCAAGCGUUAAUCGGAAUUACUGGGCGNNAAAGCGUGCGCAGGCGGUUCGCUAAGACAGAUGUGAAAUCCCCGGGCUUAACCUGGGAACUGCAUUUGUGACUGGCGGCUAGAGUAUGGCAGAGGGGGGUAGAAUUCCACGUGUAGCAGUGAAAUGCGUAGGGAUGUGGAGGAAUACCGAUGGCGAAGGCAGCCCCCUGGGCCAAUACUGACGCUCAUGCACGAAAGCGUGGGGAGCAAACAGGAUUAGAUACCCNNGUAGUCC
rnacentral:rRNA from 1 species